CAGGCAUUUAAAUGUUUAUUUUAAAAAUUAUUGACAAAAAAACCAUACAAUUUUCAUAAUCAUGUAAAUAGUUUUUUAAAACACUGUUCCUAUCUGACACAUUGUUAUCUUUUGUUUUGUUUCCUCCUAAAUAUAACACUUUCAAGUCCUAACAUUGGUGACUCAAACGCUAAUGACGUCACAAAAGCGGCCAUAAACGACAACACAAUAUGUCCAACAAUCUCGUAAAUCUGUAAAACAAAACAAACCGAUUUUG
rnacentral:lncRNA from 1 species